UGUAGGCCUCUCACUACCAUAACAUCAAACCAAUCUUUUAGAUUUUCACAUCCUCAUAGAAAAGAUACACUGAAAUAACACUUUAAUAUUUUUUUCGUGUUCCACUGCUCAAAACAAUGAUAGGGUUAAAUUUUCAAGUUUUUUGAUCUGUUUUGCUAUUUUUAAGUAAAUAAUUGAAUAUUUCGAAGAAAAUUGAAAAUUAUUACUAGGGGCGGGUGGUAGUGUCAACCGCCCCUAGAAAAUACUUAGCAAGGGCGGGUGGUGGGGUCACAUAUUUGAAUAAAUACACAUAUUUGAACAGCGUAUCGAUAUGGCAAGUGGUGGCUUUGGUCAUGGUAUGCCGCGUCAGGAUUAUGACCCGCCCCAGGCUCAUAAUCCUGGCAUCACUUUCAGCAGAGUCAACAGGACUAGACCAAGGCGAUGUUCUCAACAGAACAAUACAGCUCCAGGCAUAGUAAGAAUCAUUUCUUUGUCUAUAAUCCACAAUAUUUGAUCUCAGUAAAAAAAUAAUUAUUAAUGUUUAUUUACAUUGCCUCUAAUGCAGCGUAUCGAUUUGUUUAAAUGGCUUACAAAGGUUCUACAAUACCUAGGUGGUUCACCUCUUCAGGUGGUAACCACAGAACACCAACAAUUCAAGAAAUUGACAAUCUCUUUCGAGAUACCAUCUGGACAAGAUGUAGGUACCAUGAUUCAAAUAGUCGCCAGUGGGAGAGAAUCAACAGUUCAGAUGACUUAUGAAAGAAGAGCCAUAGAAGCCUGCCUUUUGGAACUUUAGAAUUAUGGUUAUCUGAUUCCAGAUUUGUCAUGGUUCAAAAUCAAAGCACUUCAACAGAAUCACCAAGAUAUUGUUGCCCUUUGUGUGACUCUUUCACGAGAAAAUAUAUAUGACAUAGAUAUAUUUGGUAACACUUUUAUGGCAAUGAGCUUAGAAGAAAUUUUAUGUCAAGCCGCUGAGCAGUUGGGUUAUUAUCCGACUGAGUCCAGACCAGCAUAUACAAGGGAAGGGCUCUACCAGAGUUCUUAUGAGUUUCGAACUAUGCCAGAUCCUACCGCGGAACCAAUGUUCACCGUCUACGGAAAAACACUUCCUCGUAGAAGCGAAGCAAAGGACAACUGUCUUAUCCGUGCAUUGAUUUUCAUUGACGAUGCCCUGGGGUACAAGAUUGGUGAUCUUAACUAUGUUCAGUACAUGUUGCUUCGUAAUAAUAUUCCUUAGAAGAUGUAGUAGGCAUCCAAUUGAACUUUUGCAACAUGUAUUCGCUAUGAGUUUUCAUGCAUGUAUUCUGUCGCUAGGUAAUGUAGGCUAUGAAUUUGUUAAGUCUACUAUCUCUAAGUGUGAGUUUCUGAGAUUGA